GGCCAUAGUUCAGCGAUAAAGCACCUGCUUUGCAUGCAGAAGGUCCCAGGUUCAAUCUCUGGCAGCAUCU